UGAGGCUGUCUUUCAGCAGACAUCGUUCCAUUUCACCGAGCCUUACAGGCUUACAAUACAAACUUGAACAGUCAGGAUGUUUCACUGCAAAUCUUUACAGAAGUGCUCUUCGACUGAUAGUCAUUGUGGAGGAAAAGAAACAAAUGCUGAACUAGGAGGCAACUUGGGGUUUUAAUAUGUUCCUUAAGUUUGCAUCCUCCCACCUUCCCUGGAUGAAAACCACUGGUGAUGUGAUUUAAUUCUUUUGGCUGAGUGAGAUAGACAAGAGGAAUGCAGAAAUGGUACCACAAAGACAAAUGCUCCUAGAAGCCAAACGGAACAGGCAAGGAAGAGGAAUUCAGACUCUUUUGGGGGGUCUUCUUGCUUCACUACAUACAAAUCACCAAUUGCUGGAACUUCAUGGAGAAUUAGAAAGGUUUCUUCAUCCCAGUCAAUUCUGUGUCAUCAAUAAAUAUGGUUACAUUGAUAAAUAAGGUUAACCUGAAAGUCCAACUAACAUUUUCUUUAAAUAUAUUUUGGAGCAGAUCUUGAAAUCUCCUUAGGUAGACUGUUAUAGUGUUGAUUCAUCUUUACUUUGUGGAUCUCUUUACCUUAGGUUGUACAAAUCCUUCAAAUUUAAGUCCAUAUUUUUCUGGUUCCAUUUUCCACAGAGAUGGAGAUCCGGUUAGGUGUCUUGUCUCCUUGUGGUAAUACAAGCACCAAUUAAAUCACAGUUUUAAAAGGCAGAACAAUUUGAGAUUCUUAUUUCUUUUGUGCAUCUAGUUUCUAAUCUUGUUAAUGCCUUUUUUUCUUUGUGACCUUCUUAAAUAUUUGUAAGCUUUUUUUAAAAAAAUUCUUUUUUAAUAACAUGUUUGACUGCUUACUUGUUAUGUGUCAGGCAGUGUUCUAAGCACUUCACAUGUCAUUACAUGCUUUACCAAAUUAGUAGAUGUGCAUUAUUGAAGCCUCAUGGGUUUCUAAAAAAUUAAUCAUUUUGCAUAAAGAUUCUGACAUUUCUCUCAAGCAAACAGAAAUAAUUUUUUCUGGUCAUUAUUUCUUGUUUUCCUACCUUGUAGGGGCUCUCUGGAAAUUGAUUUUCGAUUUGCACCAGUUGUUUUAAUAUUCUAGUGUUUUCCAAUUCUGUCAGUAUUAGUAGCUUCGAUGAAUACUGCAAUUUACCCUGACAUUCAGGAAAGCUCAAUAUGCUAAUUAAAAGAUGCUGAUCAGGAGAUGUUAAAUUUCUGUUAGGAUCCAGUUAAAUAUAACACAAAGAUUUCUGACAGAGAAGAAAUGGAUGAUAACAAAUAUAGAAGCAGGUGGCAGAAACUGUUUAAAAGAUCACUAGAUGUCAUUCUGGAAGAUAAGGCAAAAUAAGAAUAUGUGCUAAAACAGAACAGUUUAACCCUUGAUAAUUAUUGGAAAACUUCGUGCCUAACACAGGGCUGUGUUCAUUCAUCUGGCCAUUCAAGGAAUAACUAUGCUCAUGCAUGUGGUCCCUGUAUUGAAGCUCAGGCACAGUGAUUGAGAUGUCGUUCUUUUUCUUGAGGGACAAGCUGACAAAGAGCAGAAGGAUGUAGGCAGCGCUCACCUCAUCCCUGCAUUUCAUAAGUUGUGAGAAUGGCAAGUCUUGCACACUCCUAAUAUGCCAGUUAGGGGCAUUUUGCUUGGGAUGCUGUAAUUGAGAAAAAAAGAGGAGUGUGCUUAGAGGAAGGUAAUUUUUCCUAUGGGCGUCCGUGAUGACAGCGGGUGUGAAGAAUCCUAGUGACUGCGGGAAAGAGUGACUGCUGCUGUGAACCAGGACAUGCAGAAAGUUCUGCCAAUGCCUCAGGAGGCUAAGAAAGGCCCCUCUCCCAGUCUGGAGCAGGUCUGAAUUGGAGAGCCAAGAGGGUGCACAGUGCUAAGGGAGGGGACAGAAUCUAGUCCUGGGGGGUUCUUGGGUCCCUGUGAUCUGAAGUGGAGGAGGUGAUGCUCACUGCGGGCAGAGGCUCUCAUGCUCCCUCCACAUGCAAAGUUCAGGGUUCCUUGCUGCUUUCGUUUAAUAAAACCUCUCUCUACAACCUUUUCUUAAUGGUCUCACUGGGAUGAUUCUGAAGAGAGAAUUUAUCAGGUCAGGCAGCAACCUUAACCUCUCCAAAUCCAGCAACGUCAGUUCUUCUGCGACAGGAAACUUGGGCAAUAAGGACCAUGAAAAUAUCCAGUAAAUUACCACGAUGCUGUCAGUGCUGAUACUGUUAAAUUUUGAGUAGGAAUUUCACAAAUUGACCUUUACUGCACUAUAUAAAAUCAUAUAACAUAACAUAGUAUAAUAUAACAUCCCUGUGAAGUUCUUGUCAAUAAAUGAUAACCACAAGAUUAAAAGGUGGAAAACCCUUAUUUUCUUAGGGAUAUCAAAGUACGUAUAAGAUUUAGGCAUCCUAUUUAGUCUCAGGUGUAAGACAAUUCUGGUCUGUCUCUCCCUUUCUCUCUGCAAUUGUUUUUCUGAGCACACUUGACUGAAUGCCCUUGAUAACUUAGCAGUAGCCACCUAUCAUGUGCCUCUUAUGAUGUGUUGGACAUUUUGCAUGUAUUAUUACAGCCAAUACUCACAGAAACUCUGCCAAGGUAGGUAUUAUUAUGUCUCAUUUACACAUUGAAAGUUGAAAUCAUUUGGAGAGAUUUGUUCCAGAGGCAGAGUGGAGGUUCAAG
rnacentral:lncRNA from 10 species